AAAUUGAAGAGUUUGAUCAUGGCUCAGAUUGAACGCUGGCGGCAGGCCUAACACAUGCAAGUCGAGCGGUAGCACAGAGAGCUUGCUCUCGGGUGACGAGCGGCGGACGGGUGAGUAAUGUCUGGGAAACUGCCUGAUGGAGGGGGAUAACUACUGGAAACGGUAGCUAAUACCGCAUAAUGUCGCAAGACCAAAGUGGGGGACCUUCGGGCCUCAUGCCAUCAGAUGUGCCCAGAUGGGAUUAGCUAGUAGGUGGGGUAACGGCUCACCUAGGCGACGAUCCCUAGCUGGUCUGAGAGGAUGACCAGCCACACUGGAACUGAGACACGGUCCAGACUCCUACGGGAGGCAGCAGUGGGGAAUAUUGCACAAUGGGCGCAAGCCUGAUGCAGCCAUGCCGCGUGUGUGAAGAAGGCCUUCGGGUUGUAAAGCACUUUCAGCGGGGAGGAAGGCGAUAAGGUUAAUAACCUUGUCGAUUGACGUUACCCGCAGAAGAAGCACCGGCUAACUCCGUGCCAGCAGCCGCGGUAAUACGGAGGGUGCAAGCGUUAAUCGGAAUUACUGGGCGUAAAGCGCACGCAGGCGGUCUGUCAAGUCGGAUGUGAAAUCCCCGGGCUUAACCUGGGAACUGCAUUCGAAACUGGCAGGCUAGAGUCUUGUAGAGGGGGGUAGAAUUCCAGGUGUAGCGGUGAAAUGCGUAGAGAUCUGGAGGAAUACCGGUGGCGAAGGCGGCCCCCUGGACAAAGACUGACGCUCAGGUGCGAAAGCGUGGGGAGCAAACAGGAUUAGAUACCCUGGUAGUCCACGCCGUAAACGAUGUCGAUUUGGAGGUUGUGCCCUUGAGGCGUGGCUUCCGGAGCUAACGCGUUAAAUCGACCGCCUGGGGAGUACGGCCGCAAGGUUAAAACUCAAAUGAAUUGACGGGGGCCCGCACAAGCGGUGGAGCAUGUGGUUUAAUUCGAUGCAACGCGAAGAACCUUACCUGGUCUUGACAUCCACAGAACUUUCCAGAGAUGGAUUGGUGCCUUCGGGAACUGUGAGACAGGUGCUGCAUGGCUGUCGUCAGCUCGUGUUGUGAAAUGUUGGGUUAAGUCCCGCAACGAGCGCAACCCUUAUCCUUUGUUGCCAGCGGUUCGGCCGGGAACUCAAAGGAGACUGCCAGUGAUAAACUGGAGGAAGGUGGGGAUGACGUCAAGUCAUCAUGGCCCUUACGACCAGGGCUACACACGUGCUACAAUGGCAUAUACAAAGAGAAGCGACCUCGCGAGAGCAAGCGGACCUCAUAAAGUAUGUCGUAGUCCGGAUUGGAGUCUGCAACUCGACUCCAUGAAGUCGGAAUCGCUAGUAAUCGUAGAUCAGAAUGCUACGGUGAAUACGUUCCCGGGCCUUGUACACACCGCCCGUCACACCAUGGGAGUGGGUUGCAAAAGAAGUAGGUAGCUUAACCUUCGGGAGGGCGCUUACCACUUUGUGAUUCAUGACUGGGGUGAAGUCGUAACAAGGUAACCGUAGGGGAACCUGCGGUUGGAUCACCUCCUUA
rnacentral:rRNA from 1 species